rnacentral:rRNA from 1 species
GAAGAAGGUGCUGCAUGGCUGUCGUCAGCUCGUGUUGUGAAAUGUUGGGUUAAGUCCCGCAACGAGCGCAACCCUUAUCCUUGUUUGCCAGCACGUAAUGUCGGGAACUCCAGGGAGACUGCCGGUGAUAAACCGGAGGAAGGUGGGGACGACGUCAAGUCAUCAUGGCCCUUACGAGUAGGGCUACACACGUGCUACAAUGGCGCAUACAGAGGGCGGCCAACUUGCGAAAGUGAGCGAAUCCCAAAAAGUGCGUCGUAGUCCGGAUUGGAGUCUGCAACUCGACUCCAUGAAGUCGGAAUCGCUAGUAAUCGUGGAUCAGAAUGCCACGGUGAAUACGUUCCCGGGUCUUGUACACAC